AUCCAACAUCGAGGUCGCAAUUUUUUAUGUCAAUAAGAACUUUAAAAAAAAUAACGCUGUUAUCCCUAAGGUAAUUUAAUCUAAUAAUCUGAAAUAGAGGAUCAAAAAUUCAUUAAUUAAUGUUAACAAGCAUUUUAUUUUAUUUUACAUUCAU